UGGGGGAUAUUGCACAAUGGGCGAAAGCCUGAUGCAGCGACGCCGCGUGGGGGAUGAAGGCUUUCGGGUUGUAAACCUCUUUCGCUAUCGAACAAGGCCCGCUUAGGGUGGGUUGAGGGUAGGUGGAGAAGAAGCGCCGGCUAACUACGUGCCAGCAGCCGCGGUAAUACGUAGGGCGGGAGCGUUGUCCGGAAUUAUUGGGCGUAAAGGGCUUGUAGGCGGCUUGUUGCGCCUGCUGUGAAAACGCGGGGCUUAACUUCGCGCGUGCAGUGGGUACGGGCAGGCUUGAGUGUGGUAGGGGUGACUGGAAUUCCAGGUGUAGCGGUGGAAUGCGCAGAUAUCUGGAGGAACACCGAUGGCGAAGGCAGGUCACUGGGCCAUUACUGACGCUGAGGAGCGAAAGCAUGGGUAGCGAACAGG
rnacentral:rRNA from 1 species